CUCUAUGUCACUGAACUACAACGAGACAGCUGUGCUUUGCCAUCAUCCCAGAGAGUCAGGUAACAAAGCAAGCUGCAGAUCCGGUGUUGGAAGGUCACGGAUAUGCCUGGUGACCAGAAUACGAUACUAGGAGACUCCGAAAGGCCACGAGCUAGCAGAGGGUGUGACUAAAGCAAAACUGACACCAGGGAAGCCAUCAGUGAACUCGUGGCAGAAGUAAGAGCUGAAUGACCUAGCAGGUGGUGUCUUCUUCACCCACAGCCGCUUUGGGCCCCAGGUGAGUGUGAUUCUUGUUCCAAAGAGUCUGUUUGUUUCCAAAGAGUUUUAAAGGCACCACUAGGCACCUGACACUGUAAGACAAUUUGAGGCAGGAAUGAGCAUCUCUAAAUUAAGUGACUUGGACUGGAUUGGAUACCCCAUGGGCGAGUGUUUGCAGACCUGACAAGGGCCUCACCCAAGUGAAAAAUGAUUCUUUUAACUCCUCCAUGGGUUGGUAGGUGUGAAGAGUAACUCACAUCUGAGUCUUGGACUGUGGCAGCAAUGUCACUUUCUGGCAUUAUCCCUGAGAUUCAGAGACGCAAUCCUUGAAUGCAUUUGUGAAAACCAAAUGUCUGACACCUUUGCAGGACCCGUGAAGCCAGGGAUGGAGGUUUCUGGCAUGUUUCCCUGUUGUAGCAGUGCCAAGCCUGGGAUAUGCUGGUGAAGGCAUCUGGACAUCACAAUGGGUUUGUGAGGCACAAGGGGCCAGCUGAGUAUUGGGAUCUGAGCAUCAAGGCGCUGGGGCUCUGGGAACAGUUCUCCCAAAUCCACAUUGAUGAGGUCCAGGGAGAAUGUGCCAUCACCCGGGCCUAUUGCCCUGCACUUCCUCCUCUGAGGUCUCCGGCCUCAGUUUGGUGGGGAAGACUUGGGUCGAUGGGAAACGCACAAAAGUGAAGCCAUCUGCCACCAGGAACAAAUGACCACUGGCUGGUCCUUCUCUCCGAUGAGCGGUUGAUCCAAAGUAUUCUGUGAUUUUGGCAAUAUGUGCUCCAUGAGUCCUCAUAAUAUCCUGUGAGCAGGGUCUCAGGAUUCUCACUUACCUGCCUGUCCCUCUCUCCAGCACCAGGAACGAGGGAGGCCACUGAGGACAGUGACCACCUGUGGCCUCAAGAAUCCAAAAAUUUACAAAUUUGUUCUCCUAUUUUAAGGGGAAACGUCUCAGAUCCAGUGUUCCUUGGUUGAUGGAAGAUAUAAAUGGAAUGCAAACGGGAACAGGAAUCUUGGUUCGAAUGUAUUAACUUAUUUGCAUAACCACUAUCAAUUAAAAACUUAAAAUAUUUCCCAGAUGUUCUUAUGUGAUCAUAUUACAAGACAGCAAUUUAAAAUUGCCCCAAGGUCAACAUCCUAAGCAAGAGCAACUAAUCUAAGAAAUACAGAGUAACAUAUACUAGAAACACGUGCCACGUGAGGGCUAUGGAGAGGCCUGGAGCACACACAGGCUGGUGGGUAAUUAGAAGGAAAAUUGCCUGCAGGGAACUUGAGGGCUAUUAGGUUGCGGUUUAUGUUCAUUAAAUUUAAACACCUGGUUUCAUAGUCAUGUGGUUUCCUAGGCCUUGAUAUUGGCUCCAAACAGCUAUUUCUGCAUAAUCUGGACCGUGUUUUUCUUACGGUCACCUGAUCCAUCAAUUCCCUGUGAGCACCACUUGUUGUGCCCACUUAUCAUUGCGGGGACCUGAAAGUGGGCCCUGAAACUCCAAGGUAAGGACUCUGGACAGGAGACUUGUAAAAAGUUCCGUGGCUGCCAGGGGUUGGGGCUGGGGAGAAUAAAUAGGCAGAGCACAGAGGAUUUUUAGGGCAGUGAGAACUUCUGUGUGAUACAGUAAUGAUGGAUGCAUAUCAUUAUACAGUUUUCCAAACCCAUAAAAUAUAUAGCACCAAGAGUGAAUCCUAUCUAAACUAUGGACUUUGGGUGAUUACUACAUAUCAAUGUAGGUUCAUCAGUGGUAAGAAAUGUACCAUUCUGGGUAGGGAUGCUGACACUGGGAGAGGCUAUGCAUGUGGGGGGGUGUAUAUAGAUGGGAAACAUCUGUACUUUUCUCUCAGUUUUGCUGUGAAGCUUUAACUGCUCUAAAAACACUAAAGUCUUUUGUAAAAUGUCCAUGAACUCCUGGUGGUUUCAGUUUUGGCGUUGGAGGACCAUGAAGUUGACAUCUCCUUGAGCCACCCCAAGGCCUCAGGCACCAUCCACUAAAAGGCCCUAAUUUGGAUGUUUAACCAGCCAGUUCUUGCCUUUCUCAUAAAUCUCCAGACGAUCUUAAUCCCCAUCAGUGAUCUAUUUAUUAUUCACAAUCUUCUCCCCUCCUUGUUCUGGCCCAUGGCAACCUUUCUAUCUUGGCUUAUGUUACCCCAGCAACCUAAACAUUAAACUUGCCAUUUUGCCUACUUGGAAUGUUCUCUGUCCAGUUCUCCGAGAGCUUCUUCUGCAAUUAUGUCUUCAGAAGGUUCUCUCUUAACACUAACCGAAGGAUCCUUUCCCCACAUCCCGCCUCCAGCCACUCUAUACCACGUUAAACUAUUUUAUUGUCUUUAUAGCUUUUCUCUCUCUCAGACUUAUUCUAUUGUUUUCUUGCUUGUUUACUCUCUUCCCCUGUUUCCUUUUUUAAACAUAAAUUCUUCCAGAGUAAGGGUUUAUGUCUGUGUUGUUUCUGCUACAUCUUGAUGUCUAGAAUAGUCCUUGGCAUGCAGAAUUUGUUGGCUGAUUGGAUAAGUAAAUGGAUAGAUAAAUGAAUGACUUCAAGGAUAAGUGUAUAUCCUGGAGUUCAAAUGCCUGCCUUGUAAAGACUUUUCAUUAAAAAUAUUAUUAAUAAAUACAGUAUAACAUCAUAUUGAGUUUAAACAAUGCAUUCCCUCGAGUUAGGUACUUUUAUAGUUUGGAUUGUAGCUUUGCAGACUUUUAAUGCAUGCUGAGUCAUUAUGUCUAUCUAUAUCUAUCCAUCUAUCUUCCUAUCUAUAUAAUAUAUAUGCUGCUCUGUAAUUUGCUCUUUGAAACAACAUACUUUCAAAUAAAACAGUCAUACAUUCCAUUAGAAAGUUGAGGAUUACACAGACUGAUAACAUAGCCAUGAGUCCUAAAUUCAAGAAUCUCUGAACCAACAAAGUCUCCCGUGGACUAGGUACCAUAGAAGAAAUAGCAUGUCGAUGGGCCCAGCAUGCCAGCCCCAGCAAGCACUGGCCUGGCCAUUCUCCGAAUAGCUGCCAUGUAUGACACACUUGAAGCUUUGCACAACCUGUGUUUUCUCACAGUAGAACCUU